rnacentral:rRNA from 1 species
CCGCACAAGCAGUGGAGUAUGUGGUUUAAUUCGAAGCAACGCGAAGAACCUUACCAAGUCUUGACAUCCCUCUGAAUCCUCUAGAGAUAGAGGCGGCCUUCGGGACAGAGGUGACAGGUGGUGCAUGGUUGUCGUCAGCUCGUGUCGUGAGAUGUUGGGUUAAGUCCCGCAACGAGCGCAACCCUUGAUUUUAGUUGCCAGCACAUNAUGGUGGGCACUCUAGAAUGACUGCCGGUGACAAACCGGAGGAAGGCGGGGAUGACGUCAAAUCAUCAUGCCCCUUAUGACUUGGGCUACACACGUACUACAAUGGCUGGUACAACGGGAAGCGAAGCCGCGAGGUGGAGCCAAUCCUAUAAAAGCCAGUCUCAGUUCGGAUUGCAGGCUGCAACUCGCCUGCAUGAAGUCGGAAUUGCUAGUAAUCGCGGAUCAGCAUGCCGCGGUGAAUACGUUCCCGGGUCUUGUACACACCGCCCGUCACACCACGAGAGUUUACAACACCCGAAGUCGGUGGGGUAACCCGCAAGGGAGCCAGCCGCCGAAGGU